rnacentral:tRNA from 3 species
CAGAGAAUAGUUUAAUUUAGAAUCUUAGCUUUGGGAGUUAAGGGCGGGAGUUUGAUUCUCCCUUCUCUGA